rnacentral:rRNA from 1 species
UUCCGGUUGAUCCUGCCGGAGGCCAUUGCUAUCGGGGUCCGAUUUAGCCAUGCUAGUCGCACGGGUUAGACCCGUGGCAGAUAGCUCAGUAACACGUGGCCAAACUGCCCUGUGGACGGGGAUAUUCUCGGGAAACUGAGGCUAAUCCCCGAUACGGCUUCCAGCCUGGAACUGGCGGAAGCCGGAAACGCUCCGGCGCCACAGGAUGUGGCUGCGGCCGAUUAGGUAGACGGUGGGGUAACGGCCCACCGUGCCGAUAAUCGGUACGGGGCAUGAGAGUGCGAGCCCGGAGACGGGAUCUGAGACAAGAUCCCGGGCCCUACGGGGCGCAGCAGGCGCGAAACCUUUACACUGCACGCCAGUGCGAUAAGGGGACUCCGAGUGCGAGGGCAUACAGUCCUCGCUUUUCUGCACCGUAAGGUGGUGCAGGAACAAGUGCUGGGCAAGACCGGUGCCAGCCGCCGCGGUAAUACCGGCUGCACGAGUGAUGGCCGAUAUUA